rnacentral:lncRNA from 1 species
UCUGUUCAUACAGGAGCAUGAGGGUUAUUAAUGUGAUGGAGUUGUGUUUUUCAGCAGACACACAUACAGUAAUUCUUGGAAAGUAUUUUCUGGAGAAGGGAUCAUUGGGCAGACACGUGUUGACAGCCAUUUUCAGUUCCCCUUACAUGCAAAUCACAUUCAGGUCAUCCAGUUAAACCCAGAGAUUGGAGAAGACUUCCAAACCCGCUCAGCCAUUCAAACAGACCACUUACAGCUCUUAAACAAACCAUGGGCAACGCUGGAUGUGACACUUGCAUGGAAUAUUGCCAUACGAAAUGCAAAUGCAAGUGUCAUAAAAAGGAUAAACACAAUAAAAUACAUGCAAAACUUGAGUUCUCUGAUGACACCGCUGACACCGCUGCAGACUUGGCAGAUGCUGCCGCUGAAGACGAUUGCUGCGAUUUGGGAGAUUGCUGUCAAUUCUGCUGUUGUUUCCUCUGUAAACUUUGCGAUUUCCUUUGCUGUUGUUUUUGCAGCAAUGAUGACGAAUAACUGGAGGAGCUGAGCAGACGCUGAGCAGGAGGAUCCCGAGCGAGAAGAACACAACGCUGCGGCCAGGAUGAGCUUCAGCUCCUGUCAAGGAUUCAGAUAUUUGAUGUGGGUUAUCUGUUAUUCACUCACAAAUGAAUGACUCAGUUUACAUGUUGGGCUGCCAGUAAACAUCAGAGGAUUCUUCAUAAUCAACUCCACAAUCCAAAUUUUCAUGCAUUUGUUUUUAAUUUGAACUGUUUCCCGGAGAUGGGUUGCGGCUGGAAGGGCAUCCGCUGCGUAGAAACUUGCUGG